CCACAGUAGCACUCCGAUUUCGAUUUCGAUUCCGAUUCCACUUCCAUAACUCACAAUUAGCGCCGAGUGCCACUCACCCAGUGAUCUCCAUUGAUAACCGUACGCUUUUCGGGAUGACAACAGCGCAAUUGCGAGAGAAAUUAUUCCUCGAUUUAUUAUUGUGUCAUUGCGAAUAUUGAAUUCAUUAUUGUUCGGCUAUUGAGUUGCCAUUGUGCCUUUUGGAAGUCGAUUUCGUUGACAGCGCAAAUUUGCUUUAAAUGGACUACACAAUGUAAUGUUGUGGAAGUACUUUAAAGCCACUGGAAGGUUCUUGAAUAUGGCCCACUGACAUCAUUGACAUGGAUUGGAGCAAUUAUGUUGGGAGCCCCAGUGUCGUUGUGCAUGCUGCUCCGUCGACAGUGGCAAGACGGCAACUUUGGCGGGCUGCCGUUGCAGCUGUUGCAGCACGACUUUCCUUGGCUUCUUCGCAGCAACUGCCGCAGUAACUGCCGCAGCAACUGCAAUGGCAACUGCAACGGCAACAAUCAAUUCGACAGCAACGACGACAUUUGCGCAGGCGCAGGCACCUUUGUUGCGCUUCAACUUCCGGAAAUCACGCUGCUUGCUGUAAUAAUGUUUUAGCUUUUCUUGGGCUUGUGUUUUUUUUUGCGGAGGAAUGGGUCAGGUCGGCGUGGUAAACGAAAUGUGCACGCGAGCGAAAUUACAAAAUGCGCACAGUUAACGUAAAAUUUGUUUGCCAAAAGUUGUUAAAUUUUUUCAAUUAUGCAAAAGUUAAAUUUUAACACAAUCUUGUGGCGGCGGUGGGUGAAAUGAAGACAUGAAGGCACGAAGACGAUAGCCGAAACUAGUUGCUAGUUACAAUCCAUCGAAAUGGGUUAUGAAACUGGCCAGGCAUUCACCUCCUCAAAAGGCAAAAUUUAGUUUCGGUUUUAAGGGAACGGAGA